CCCUUAGAGCAUAAUUAUCGGGGUCUCUUAAGGUGUCUUUAAUUGCUGACUAGGAUUAAACAAAAAGAAAAAAUGGGAAUUAAGUGAAAGAACGUCCCUUAAUGAAGCUGUAUUUAGGGACGUAUAUUGUUGGACACGCGUCAGUUUGAAAUGCUUUGGGUCGGAGAAUACGAGGGGAGAAACAAAUUCAUUCUUUUUCGAUAAAGAAAACUGUCGGUUUCUCCUCGACGAAGCGGAGACAAUCAUGGGUGAUCUUCUCGACGACGAAGCAACUCGGUGGUGGCUGUCCUCUCCGACGACAAAAUUGUCGGAUGCUGCUGAGUCGAAUCGAACUGGCGGUUCCUGUCCACGACGAGGCGUAGCAAAGCGUGGGUUCCUCUCCUCGAUGACGAAGCAAACCGGCGGUGGCUCUCCUUGACGACGACGAAAAUCGACGGUUGCUGCUAUUAGAAUCGAAAGAGGAACAGAAGUUCUCAAAGGAUGGAUAUGAGCAUCACAUGCAAACUUUUUAGAAGAAAUGUUUUUACUUGGUUUUCUAUAGAGAUUCUUGAGAUUUUUGAUACUUGCUGUUGUUGUUGUUGUGAACAGAAAUCAACGAUAGGUGCAGCAUUCUUCUCUCAGACAUUGGCUGUGAAUGAUGCAAAUGAUUCAUGACUUUGUUGGUAACUUGAGAAAAUGAUUUAGUUCAUAGGGGUUUACAGGGACUCGGAAAUCAGCACCAAUGGUGUGUUGUGACUUUUGCCAGCGCUGGGUUCAUUGCCGCCAGUCUUUUAUAUAUUUUUUUUUUCUUAUUUCCUCUCCAAUGUUAUGGAUUUCUGUAAAUAACAGUUAAGUGAUACCAUUUUGUCUCUGUUACGAUGCUAGGCCAAAGGAUCUUGAGGAUGUUGAUAUAUACAUUUGUUUAAGAACCUCAAAAUAAGAGAUUGCAUUGGAGGACAUAAA